rnacentral:tRNA from 1 species
GGGGUCGUAGCUCAGCUGGUUAGAGCGCCGGCCUGUCACGCCGGAGGUCGCGAGUUCGAAUCUCGUCGGCCCCGCCA